AUUGAACGCUGGCGGCAUGCCUUACACAUGCAAGUCGAACGGCAGCACGGGAGCAAUCCUGGUGGCGAGUGGCGAACGGGUGGGUAAUAUAUCGGAACGUGCCCAGUAGUGGGGGAUAACUGCUCGAAAGAGCAGCUAAUACCGCAUACGACCUGAGGGUGAAAGGGGGGGAUCGCAAGACCUCUCGCUAUUGGAGCGGCCGACAUCAGAUUAGCUAGUUGGUGGGGUAAAGGCCUACCAAGGCAACGAUCUGUAGUUGGUCUGAGAGGACGACCAGCCAAACUGGGACUGAGACACGGCCCAGACUCCUCCGGGAGGAAGAAGUGGGGAAUUUUGGACAAUGGGCGCAAGCCUGAUCCAGCAAUGCCGCGUGCAGGAAGAAGGCCUUCGGGUUGUAAACUGCUUUUGUCAGGGAAGAAAUCCUCUAGGUUAAUACCCUUGGGGGGAUGACGGUACCUGAAGAAUAAGCACCGGCUAACUACGUGCCAGCAGCCGCCGUAACAC
rnacentral:rRNA from 1 species